CUUGAUGACUUGAGUCAUGUAGAUGUCCCAAAACAAGAAUAAAGGGUCAUCUGCAUUGCAUUCUUCUGGAGAGAAGAGUUGGAGCCAGGAGUCCCACCAAAGACUUACCCACAGCACAAGAAGAAUCUCACCUGCUGUCUCUUCUCAGGAGACCUCAUCCUGCACUGAGAUUUAGGUUGUUGUUGCUGUGAGUUGGAGGUGAGGAAGUGCAUGCCUGUCCUUUUCCCAUUUCUUGCUGAGGGCAAGUACAACAUGGUCAUUCAGGACUAGUAGCCAAAACGUAUUUCCAGAUCUCCUUUGGGGAGCUUGAUGAAAAGAAAAUGCCACCACAAAGGAGGCCUUGCUGAGGCAAGGUUAAAGUUGUAUUCAAAAGCAACAUCAGUGCUGUACGUUGCAUAUACCAUCACCGCUGAGGAUCCGUGCCUCUUUCCUGGAAUCAGUGUCAGAGU